rnacentral:rRNA from 1 species
UACGUAGGGCGCAAGCGUUGUCCGGAAUUAUUGGGCGUAAAGAGCUCGUAGGCGGUCUGUCGCGUCUGCUGUGAAAACUCAGGGCUUAACUCUGAGCUUGCAGUGGGUACGGGCAGACUAGAGUGCGGUAGGGGAGACUGGAAUUCCUGGUGUAGCGGUGAAAUGCGCAGAUAUCAGGAGGAACACCGGUGGCGAAGGCGGGUCUCUGGGCCGUAACUGACGCUGAGGAGCGAAAGCAUGGGGAGCGAACAGG